rnacentral:rRNA from 1 species
CCCCCCCUCAAGAUGAGAUUUCCCAACUUCGGUUAUAAGAUCCCUCGAAGAUGACGAGGUUAAUAGGUUCGAGGUGGAAGCGUGGUGACACGUGGAGCUGACGAAUACUAAUCGAUCGAAGACUUAAUCAAUUU